rnacentral:rRNA from 1 species
AGAGUUUGAUCAAGGCUCAGGAUGAACGCGGGCGGCGUGCUAACACAUGCAAGUCGACCGGUCUUUUCGGAGAUAGUGGCGGACGGGGGAGUAACGCGUGAGAAUUGCCUUUAGGGUUCGGGACAACAGUUGGAAACGGCUGGUAAUACCGAAUGGGCUGAAAAGUAAAAGAUUAAUUGCCUAAAGAUGAGCUCGCGUCCGAUUAGUAGUUGGUGGGGUAAAAAGCUUACCAAGGCGACGAUCGGUAGCUGGUCUGAGAGGAUGAUCAGCCACACUGGGUGAGACACGGCCCAGACUCCUACGGGAGGCAGCAGUGGGGAAUUUUCCGCAAUGGGCGAAAGCCUGACGGAGCAACGCCGCGUGAGGGGGGAAGGCUUUUGGGUUGUAAACCUCUUUUCUCAAGGAAGAUAAUGACGGUACUUGAGGAAUCAGCAUCGGCUAACUCCGUGCCAGCAUGCCGCGGUAAUACGGAGGAUGCAAGCGUUAUCCGGAAUAAUUGGGCGUAAAGCGUUCGUAGGUGGUUGUGCAAGUCUGCUGUUAAAGCGUGUAGCUUAACUACAUAUAGGCAGUGGAAACUGCACAACUAGAGUGCGUUCGGGGCAGAGGGAAUUCCUGGUGUAGCGGUGAAAUGCGUAGAGAUCAGGAAGAACACCGGUGGCGAAAGCGCUCUGCUAGGCCGCAACUGACACUGAGGGACGAAAGCUAGGGGAGCGAAUGGGAUUAGAUACCCCAGUAGUCCUAGCUGUAAACGAUGGGUACUAGGCGUUGCUUGUAUCGACCCGAGCAGUGCCGUAGCUAACGCGUUAAGUAUCCCGCCUGGGGAGUACGCACGCAAGUGUGAAACUCAAAGGAAUUGACGGGGGACCGCACAAGCGGUGGAGUAUGUGGUUUAAUUCGAUGCAACGCGAAGAACCUUACCAAGGCUUGACAUGUCCGGAACCUUUGUGAAAGCAGAGGGUGCCUUCGGGAGCCGGAACACAGGUGGUGCAUGGCUGUCGUCAGCUCGUGUCGUGAGAUGUUGGGUUAAGUCCCGCAACGAGCGCAACCCUCGUUCUUAGUUGCCAGCAUUUCGGAUGGGCACUCUAGGGAGACUGACGGUGACAAACCGGAGGAAGGUGGGGAAGACGUCAAGUCAUCAUGCCCCUUACGCCUUGGGCUACACACGUACUACAAUGCUGUGGACAAAGAGCAGCCAACCAGCGAUGGAGCGCUAAUCUCAUAAACCACGGCUCAGUUCAGAUCGCAGGCUGCAACUCGCCUGCGUGAAGUAGGAAUCGCUAGUAAUUGCAGGUCAGCAUACUGCAGUGAAUUCGUUUCCCGGGCCUUGUACACACCGCCCGUCACACCAUGGAAGUGGGUCACGCCCCGAAGUCCUUUCCCCUAACCGAAAGGAGGGGGAUGCCGAAAGGUAGGACUGAUGACUUGGGGGGAAGUCGUAACAAGGUAGCCGUACCGGAAGGUGUGGCUGGAUCACCUCCUUU